GACUCUGGGAUAAGCGUUGGAAACGACGUCUAAUACUGGAUAUGAUCACUGGCCGCAUGGUCUGGUGGUGGAAAGAUUUUUUGGUUGGGGAUGGACUCGCGGCCUAUCAGCUUGUUGGUGAGGUAAUGGCUCACCAAGGCGACGACGGGUAGCCGGCCUGAGAGGGUGACCGGCCACACUGGGACUGAGACACGGCCCAGACUCCUACGGGAGGCAGCAGUGGGGAAUAUUGCACAAUGGGCGAAAGCCUGAUGCAGCAACGCCGCGUGAGGGAUGACGGCCUUCGGGUUGUAAACCUCUUUUAGUAGGGAAGAAGCGAAAGUGACGGUACCUGCAGAAAAAGCACCGGCUAACUACGUGCCAGCAGCCGCGGUAAUACGUAGGGUGCAAGCGUUGUCCGGAAUUAUUGGGCGUAAAGAGCUCGUAGGCGGUUUGUCGCGUCUGCUGUGAAAUCCCGAGGCUCAACCUCGGGCUUGCAGUGGGUACGGGCAGACUAGAGUGCGGUAGGGGAGAUUGGAAUUCCUGGUGUAGCGGUGGAAUGCGCAGAUAUCAGGAGGAACACCGAUGGCGAAGGCAGAUCUCUGGGCCGUAACUGACGCUGAGGAGCGAAAGCAUGGGGAGCGAACAGGAUUAGAUACCCUGGUAGUCCAUGCCGUAAACGUUGGGCGCUAGAUGUAGGGACCUUUCCNACGGUUUCUGUGUCGUAGCUAACGCAUUAAGCGCCCCGCCUGGGGAGUACGGCCGCAAGGCUAAAACUCAAAGGAAUUGACGGGGGCCCGCACAAGCGGCGGAGCAUGCGGAUUAAUUCGAUGCAACGCGAAGAACCUUACCAAGGCUUGACAUACACCGGAAACGGCCAGAGAUGGUCGCCCCCUUGUGGUCGGUGUACAGGUGGUGCAUGGUUGUCGUCAGCUCGUGUCGUGAGAUGUUGGGUUAAGUCCCGCAACGAGCGCAACCCUCGUUCUAUGUUGCCAGCGGGUUAUGCCGGGGACUCAUAGGAGACUGCCGGGGUCAACUCGGAGGAAGGUGGGGAUGACGUCAAAUCAUCAUGCCCCUUAUGUCUUGGGCUUCACGCAUGCUACAAUGGCCGGUACAAAGGGCUGCGAUACCGUAAGGUGGAGCGAAUCCCAAAAAGCCGGUCUCAGUUCGGAUUGAGGUCUGCAACUCGACCUCAUGAAGUCGGAGUCGCUAGUAAUCGCAGAUCAGCAACGCUGCGGUGAAUACGUUCCCGGGCCUUGUACACACCGCCCGUCAAGUCAUGAAAGUCGGUAACACCCGAAGCCGGUGGCCUAACCCUUGUGGAAGGAGCCGUCGAAGGUGGGAUCGGUGAUAGGACUAAG
rnacentral:rRNA from 1 species